rnacentral:rRNA from 1 species
ACGGUCCAGACUCCUACGGGAGGCAGCAGUAGGGAAUCUUCCGCAAUGGGCGAAAGCCCGACGGAGCAACGCCGCGUGAGUGAUGAAGGUCUUCGGAUCGUAAAACUCUGUUAUUAGGGAAGAACAUAUGUGUAAGUAACUGUGCACAUCUUGACGGUACCUAAUCAGAAAGCCACGGCUAACUACGUGCCAGCAGCCGCGGUAAUACGUAGGUGGCAAGCGUUAUCCGGAAUUAUUGGGCGUAAAGCGCGCGUAGGCGGUUUUUUAAGUCUGAUGUGAAAGCCCACGGCUCAACCGUGGAGGGUCAUUGGAAACUGGAAGACUUGAGUGCAGAAGAGGAAAGUGGAAUUCCAUGUGUAGCGGUGAAAUGCGCAGAGAUAUGGAGGAACACCAGUGGCGAAGGCGACUUUCUGGUCUGUAACUGACGCUGAUGUGCGAAAGCGUGGGGAUCAAACAGGAUUAGAU